UGCUUUACCCGGUUGACCCACUGUCUUCCGGUGAUAAUUUUUUUUCUUUUUCUCAAAUCGUGUCAUCACUCCGGUUUGCCUCUAACUUCUCCGGUUUGCCUUUAACUUCUCAAAAUUCUCAGGUACAACCACCUUGCCGCCCGAUCCGGCCGUUUUUCCCAACCGCCCCACACGGCUCCCUCCAUCGCUCACAGGUCUGGUCUCCACAGCCCCGAUUUUGUUUCUUUAAGUCAUGGGAGAUGUUGAUUCCAUCUCGUUUACUAAAGUUCUGCUUAUCCCAUGUGAAAAACUAACUGGAUCAGCC
rnacentral:lncRNA from 1 species